CAUCUAUGUUCGAAAUAUCCAAAGCGAUUGGCGAAUGGAUGAGUAUUUGUCAUCCUGCGACAGUUUGUACUCGAUGUUCUGUGUUGGUCGACCACUUCUGCAGGAUGAUAUAAAAAAUAGUUUAUCGCAGUCCACUUCGUGUGUUAAUAAGCCUCAGUGCCACCUUGAAAAAGAGUACUGCCAGGAGGCAAUUUUUAAUGCUGGAUAUGCAGAAGUAAAGACAUUGGGACAAUUAA